UACGGGGGAGGCAAGCGUUGUUCGGAUUUACUGGGCGUAAAGGGCGCGUAGGCGGCCACCGCAAGUCGACUGUGAAAUCUCCGGGCUUAACUCGGAAAGGUCAGCCGAUACUGCGGGGCUAGAGUGCAGAAGGGGCAACUGGGAAUUCUCGGUGUAGCGGUGAAAUGCGUAGAUAUCGAGAGGAACACCUGCGGCGAAGGCGGGUUGCUGGGCUGACACUGACGCUGAGGCGCGAAAGCCAGGGGAGCAAACGGG
rnacentral:rRNA from 1 species